UACGUAGGGUGCGAGCGUUGUCCGGAAUUAUUGGGCGUAAAGGGCUCGUAGGCGGUUUGUCGCGUCGGGGGUGAAAACUCAGGGCUUAACCCUGAGCCUGCUUCCGAUACGGGCAGACUAGAGGUAUGCAGGGGAGAACGGAAUUCCUGGUGUAGCGGUGAAAUGCGCAGAUAUCAGGAGGAACACCGGUGGCGAAGGCGGCUCUCUGGGCAUUACCUGACGCUGAGGAGCGAAAGUGUGGGGAGCGAACAGG
rnacentral:rRNA from 1 species